UACGGAGGGUGCAAGCGUUAUCCGGAAUGAUUGGGCGUAAAGCGUCCGCAGGUGGCAGUUCAAGUCUGCUGUCAAAGACCGGGGCUUAACUUCGGAAAGGCAGUGGAAACUGAACAGCUAAAGUAUGGUAGGGGCAGAGGGAAUUCCUGGUGUAGCGGUGAAAUGCGUAGAGAUCAGGAAGAACAUCGGUGGCGAAGGCGCUCUGCUGGACCAUAACUGACACUCAGGGACGAAAGCUAGGGGAGCGAAUGGG
rnacentral:rRNA from 1 species